UCUAAUAUGGCAGAAUAGUGCAUUGGAUUUAAGCCCCAAAAAUAAAGCCCAAGCUUUUUUUAGAA
rnacentral:tRNA from 2 species